rnacentral:rRNA from 1 species
UGGGGAAUUUUGGACAAUGGGCGAAAGCCUGAUCCAGCCAUGCCGCGUGAGUGAAGAAGGCCUUUGGGUUUGUAAAGCUCUUUUAGUCGGAAAGAAAGAGUCGCAAUGAAUAAUUGUGAUUUAUGACGGUACCGACAGAAAAAAGCACCGGCUAACUACGUGCCAGCAGCCGCGGUAAUACGUAGGGUGGCGAGCGUUAAUCGGAAGUUACUGGGCGUAAAGGGGUGCGCAGGCGGUUUUGCAAGUCAGAUGUGAAAGCCUCGGGCUUAACCGUCGGGAAUUGCGUUUGAAACUACAAGGCUAGAGUGCAGCAGAGGGGGAGUGGAAGUUCCAUGUGUAGCAGUGAAAUGCGUAGAGAUGUGGAAGAACACCGAUGGCGAAGGCAGGCUCCCUGGGUUGACA